CUUAAAGGGGCCCAAGAAAUAGACUCCAGGUGAAAGACCACCUGGGGCGGGGAGACCCUCACUCAAGUCUUGGGAUGACUCGACCCCCCAAGAACUCACGAGAGACC
rnacentral:pre_miRNA from 14 species